rnacentral:rRNA from 1 species
GACGAACCGUGCGAACGUUAUUCGGAAUCACUGGGCUUAAAGCGCGUGUAGGCGGGCCGCCGCGUCGGCUGCUGAAAUCCCCCGGCUCAACCGGGGAACGGGCACCGAUACGGGCGGCCUCGAGGGGGGUAGGGGGGCCUGGAACGUUCCGGUGGAGCGGUGAAAUGCGUUGAGAUCGGAAGGAACGCCCGUGGCGAAAGCGAGGCCCUGGACCCUUUCUGACGCUGAGACGCGAAAGCCAGGGGA